GUUUGAUCCUGGCUCGAAUGAACGCUGGCGGCAGGCCUAACACAUGCAAGUCGAACGGAGUUAUAUUGUAGCUUGCUAUGGUAUAACUUAGUGGCAGACGGGUGAGUAAUGUAUAGGAAUCUACCUAGUAGUACGGAAUAAUUGUUGGAAACGGCAACUAAUACCGUAUACGCCCUACGGGGGAAAAAUUUAUUGCUAUUAGAUGAGCCUAUAUUAGAUUAGCUAGUUGGUGGAGUAAUAGCCUACCAAGGCAAUGAUCUAUAGCUGAUCUGAGAGGAUGAUCAGCCACACUGGAACUGAGAUACGGUCCAGACUCCUACGGGAGGCAGCAGUGGGGAAUAUUGGACAAUGGGCGAAAGCCUGAUCCAGCCAUGCCGCAUGAGUGAAGAAGGCCUUUGGGUUGUAAAGCUCUUUUAGUGAGGAAGAUAAUGACGGUACUCACAGAAGAAGUCCUGGCUAACUCCGUGCCAGCAGCCGCGGUAAUACGGAGAGGGCUAGCGUUAUUCGGAAUUAUUGGGCGUAAAGGGCGCGUAGGCGGAUUAGUAAGUUAAAAGUGAAAUCCCAAGGCUCAACCUUGGAAUUGCUUUUAAAACUGCUAAUCUAGAGAUUGAAAGAGGAUAGAGGAAUUCCUAGUGUAGAGGUGAAAUUCGUAAAUAUUAGGAGGAACACCAGUGGCGAAGGCGUCUAUCUGGUUCAAAUCUGACGCUGAGGCGCGAAGGCGUGGGGAGCAAACAGGAUUAGAUACCCUGGUAGUCCACGCUGUAAACGAUGAAUGUUAAAUAUGGGAAGUUUUACUUUCUGUAUUACAGCUAACGCGUUAAACAU
rnacentral:rRNA from 1 species